CCCCCCCAGUAGGGGGCCGGGCUGCCCGCCCCCUUCCGGCGCUGCACAAAUGCCGGCCCCGGGGCCCCCUCGGCUAGCGGGCAGGGCGCCCGGCUCGCCGCCGGGCCAUGGAGGGGGACGCCCCGCUCCGGCUGGGCUUCUUGCGCUGACCAGGGCUCAGCUGCUUCGAAUUGGCAGAGAGGUACCGGCUUACAGCCGCAGAGGAUCCGGCCCAUAGAUGUGCAUUUACUCAGGGGCAUCUGUACUAUUUACUGUGGAUUCAGUAGAACAGCAGCCAAGUUCUGCAGUACAAUGUCCUGCAGCACUGGUUUUAAUUAGUGUAACUCCACUGAUUAAAAUGGACCUAUCCCAAAUGUAUACUGGUGCAAGUGAGAGGAGAAUCAGACCCUAAGACUACAAGUUAGCACUGAAAACCAACCUGAAAGACAUCCAUUAAAACAAGUUGGUGCUAUUGUUCUUCAUCAUAAAAUGUAAUACUUUG